rnacentral:rRNA from 1 species
UACGAAGGGGGCUAGCGUUGCUCGGAAUCACUGGGCGUAAAGGGUGCGUAGGCGGGUCUUUAAGUCAGGGGUGAAAUCCUGGAGCUCAACUCCAGAACUGCCUUUGAUACUGAGGAUCUUGAGUUCGGGAGAGGUGAGUGGAACUGCGAGUGUAGAGGUGAAAUUCGUAGAUAUUCGCAAGAACACCAGUGGCGAAGGCGGCUCACUGGCCCGAUACUAACGCUGAGGCACGAAAGCGUGGGGAGCAAACAGGG